CAAAUUGCCAGCUUUACUGUGACAGUCACUGCAGAAAGAAAUGCUGUUCUGCUUGAGUAACAUCAGAAUGUGAGGACAGAGUACAAUGAUUCCAGUGUCCCACAGGAGCCUUCUGGCUGCUUGGGUGACAGCAAGCCAAAGGCGCUGUGGCAAACCUAAGGACGCGUCAAUCACUGCUCUGCUGAAUCCCGGGUUAUCCCGGCAUUUCAAGUCAAACUUCGGGAGAGAAUUAGGAAUCCCAACCGUGGCGAAAUGGUUGAUGAAACUCUGGGCAGGAGUGUGGCAACCAGGAUGUAGUUGGGAAAGGCACCGGUGGAGGGACGUCAGCACGAGCAGUUCAUUCAGCCUUGAUAUCCGUCCUUGAUAUUCGGCCUUGUCACAACAGGAGUGCUGCCGGAUCUGACUGUGAGAAACAACUGCUCACUUUGAAAAUUUAAAAAAAUUUAUUAAACCUUAACAAAAAUACAGCAAAGGACUACAUAAGGAAAAAGUUGCAGAGCUGGGAAUUGCCCUGUGCAUGCCAUGUGGCUGGUUCAUCUUCAAGAUGGAUGCUCAGUCUUUUAUACCCCUGGGGGUUGCAUCAGCCAGCCCAGCCCUCCCACAGUCUGUCACUCAGCUCUUCUUUGCCAUUUAUCAGUGGAGAUUGCUGUCUUGUGACUCGAUUGGAGGUCAGGUGUUGCCGUGCUGCACCCCCUGAGCAACCCCUGAGCUUUUCCAUUCCCCACUGCCCCAGGUAAGGGGAAUUUGUGCACACCUUCUUUGUACCUGUCCUAGACACCCCAGGCUGUCUGAUGGCAAAAAUACAGGGGGGAAAGGGAACUGUGGGGAGAACAGAGGACAUCUAGGCUACAAUAACAUAACUAUACAUCACUAAAGCUUUUCUUAAUAUUCACACAAUAGUUAUCUUUUAAUUGCAAGAGCAAAUCAUCUCAUCAUCCAUCUAUAACAUCAACAAAACUUUCCAGAGCCUUUGGGAUGGAGUGCAGGUUUCAGGCAGCUCAUGGCUGUUUCAGGUUAACUGUAUGCCUCUCAUCCUGUGGGAAUGCAAUAAAGAUCAGCCCCUUCUCA
rnacentral:lncRNA from 1 species